rnacentral:rRNA from 1 species
GACAGAGGCCUCAAGCGUUAGGUGGAAUCACUGGGCUUAAAGCGUGUGUAGGCGGAUCGUUAAGUGCCUUGUGAAAUCCCACGGCUUAACUGUGGAACGGCUGGGCAUACUGGCGGUCUUGAGCCAUCUAGGGGCGACUGGAACAAACGGUGGAGCGGUGAAAUGCGUAGAUAUCGUUUGGAACGCCAAUGGUGAAAACAGGUCGCUGGGGAUGCGCUGACGCUGAGACACGAAAGCCAGGGGAGCAAACGGG